rnacentral:rRNA from 1 species
UCCGGGAUCGCCUGCUCGCAGAGGUGAUUGCCGGCCCAUCAGCUAGUUGGUAGGGUAAUGGCCUACCAAGGCAACGGACGGGUAGCCGGCCUUAGAGGGUGGUCGGCCGCACUGGGACUGAGACACUGCCCAGACUCCUACGGGAGGCUGCAGUCGAGAAUCUUCCGCAAUGGGCGAAAGCCUGACGGAGCGACGCCGCGUGGAGGAUGAAGGCCUUCGGGUUGUAAACUCCUGUCACGAGUUAAGAAAGGAAUGCCGCGAAUAGCGGUAGGCCCUGACGUAAGCUCGAGAGGAAGCACUGGCUAACUCUGUG